AAUCAACGCUGGCGGCGUGCCUCAGACAUGCAAGUCGAACGCGAAAGUCCCCUUCGGGGGAUGAGUAGAGUGGCGCACGGGUGAGUAACACGUAGGUAAUCUACCUUCGGGUGGGGAAUAACAACCGGAAACGGUUGCUAAUACCGCAUAAUGCAGCGGCACCUAAUGGUGACAGUUGUUAAAGCAGGGGAUCGCAAGACCUCGCGCCUGAAGAGGAGCCUGCGGCGGAUUAGCUAGUUGGCAGGGUAACGGCCUACCAAGGCGACGAUCCGUAGCCGGCCUGAGAGGGCGGUCGGCCACACUGACACUGACAUACGGGUCAGACUCCUACGGGAGGCAGCAGUCGGGAAUUUUGGGCAAUGGGCGAAAGCCUGACCCAGCAACGCCGCGUGAAGGAUGAAAUCCCUCGGGAUGUAAACUUCGCAAGAACGGGGAGAAUAAGCCGGUGUCAACACCACCGGCGAUGACGGUACCGUUUGUAAGCUCCGGCUAACUCCGUGCCAGCAGCCGCGGUAA
rnacentral:rRNA from 1 species